rnacentral:rRNA from 1 species
UGAAGACAAACUUCUGCGAAAGCAUUUGCCAAGAAUGUUUUCAUUAAUCAAGAACGAAAGUUAGAGGUUCGAAGGCGAUUAGAUACCGCCCUAGUUCUAACCAUAAACGAUGCCAGCUAGCGAUCUGCAGGCGUUUUAUUUUCUGACUCUGCAGGGAGCUUCCGGGAAACCAAAGCUUGUGGGUUCCAGGGGAAGUAUGGUUGCAAAGCUGAAACUUAAAGUAAUUGACGGAAGGGCACCACCAGGAGUGGAGCCUGUGGCUUAAUUUGACUCAACACGGGAAAACUCACCAGGCCCGGACACCAGAAGGAUUGACAGAUUGAUAGCUCUUUCUUGAUUUGGUGGUUGGUGGUGCAUGGCCGUUCUUAGUUGGUGGAGUGAUUUGUCUGGUUAAU